CCUACGGGUGGCAGCAGUGAGGAAUAUUGGUCAAUGGGCGCAAGCCUGACCCAGCAACGCCGCGUGCAGGAAGACGGCCCUCGGGUUUUAAACUUCUUUUUUCAGGGACGAAACAAGUGACAGUACCUGACGAAUGAGCCACGGGUAACUACAUGCCAGCAGGCGCGGUGAUACGUAGGGGGCGAGCGUUAUCCGGAUUUACUGGGUGUAAGGGGCGAGUAGGCGGGGAAGCAAGUCAGAUGUGAAAUUCCAGGGCUCAACCCUGGAACUGCAUUGGAAACUGUUGUUCUUGAGUGAUGGAGAGGCAGGCGGAAUGCGGGGUGUAGCGGUGAAAUGCGUAGAGAUACGGAGGAACACCAGUGGCGAAGGCGGCUUGCUGGACAUUAACUGACGCUGAGGCGCGAAAGCGUGGGGAGCAAACAGGAUUAGAUACCCUUGUAGUC
rnacentral:rRNA from 1 species